AUGGAUCAAAAUGCAUUUCUUUUUCUUUUCCUUUAAUCUUUCUUUCAUUUCAUGUUCAUCAUGAAUAUCAACAACAAUCUCAACACAUCAAGAAAUAUUGACAUGAAUCUGUAAUGAAAACAACCUACUGAUGCUCAAACAAAUAUGAUAAUCACAUCACAUGCUAAAAAACAAACAUAAAUUUGGAAGGAAUACAUGGAUGGACAUGAAGAACUUCUUGACCUAAUUCAACAAUUAAGUGCUAACGGGAAGGAAUUUGAGCGUGCAAUAAUGGGGGAAACAUUCAAUGUGAGUGUAGCAACAAAAUUGUAACACCCUAAUUUCCCCUAUGUGAUAUAACAAAUUAAAUCAAAAAUAUAUCACAUAUGAACAUUAGGAUGUCACACAUCUCAAAUCACAAUCUGUGAUGUAACACUGUUAAUUUAAAAUAAAAUAUCCAACACCUGUCAUCGCAUGCUCACCUUCACUUAGGGUAUCAUCGCAAUAUAAUUUAUAAAAUAAGCAUGCUUCACAAUCAUAUAAGUCUCAUAGAAAUAUUUUUUUAAAAUUAAAACAAUACGGUAAACAUCUCUGCAAAUCAACGCAAGCAUCAAAACUUCAAGAGUAUAACAUCCUACUCUCUAAUUAACAUAAAACAAAAAUAAAAAGAAUUUUUCGUCCCACCCAGUGUUACAGAUCAGGGCAACAUAAUUAUAAGAAUAAAAAACAAGAAAGAAAAUAGAGGAACAACCCAACACCAUCCUCCAACUCUAAGAAACUACUCGGUUACCUUCUUAUCUGUACUCCGGAGACGAGCACAAGCCACAACGACAACAAAGGGGUGAAAAUUCACAUCAAUAAAUUAAGGGGUAGAAACUGCAAGAUAGAACAUGUACAAUUAACAUAUUUCACAAAAAUCACACAAUCAUCAUCUCAUACCAACUCAACAUCAUACACCAUCAUGAUUAAGCAUACAACUCACUAUGCCACAUAACUCAAUUAUGCAACUCGAUACGUAUGCAUGUGGUACCAACUCAACAAAAGGUUCCUCGUUCGAACCGGGUUUUGCACCAAACCCCGAGCUCUAAGCCCCAACACCAAGCUUGGGACAAAGUCACAAAGUUCCACACGGAACCUACGAUCUUAAGCAAAACAAAUUGGAUUCUGCCCCCCGACACAAGCAAAACAACCAAUUAUGCAAGUUACAGGUGCAUGACGACCAUGGGCGUCAUGACCAUGACGCCCGUCAUGGACCUUUAAAACGUCAAAAUAGGUUUCCAACAAUGGAGAUCAAUGCAAACUCCCAUUAUUUCACAAUCAACAAAAAAUAAUACGUAUGAAAUAUGUUCAGCCAUAGCGUAUUAUUUUCAUAGUAUAGCACAUUUAAUUCAUCAAUCCCUUAAAAUCGUAUUUACCCCAAAACCUUCAAAAUUCAACAGUGGUGAAAAAAUAUUAACACAUCAAAACAGAAAAUCUCAUACACACAUGUAUACGAAUUGCAUCAUGAAAAACAGUUUAUAACUCCAAUUUAUUAUUGAAUUUCAUAUUCACAUUAAAUCAUAAUAAAACAUGCAUAAUCAUACAAACCUAUUGGAGGUUAAGGAGUCCUCAAUUCUAUCCUUAAGCACAUACCAAUUAUUGAAUUUAUUCUUCCCCUUACCUCAAUUCCUAGCAAGCAAUCUGAAUUUGAACUAGUUGAAUGGGUUCUCCCUUUAACUUCUAGCCUCCCUCUUGUCUCUAGCCUCUUUUUCUCUUCUUCAAAGUUCUACGUAUUUAUUAGAAUUAGGGAUCUAUAACUUAAAAUAUCCUAAUUAAUAUAGUUUUCACUAUUUCUAUUUUGCUCCCCACAUCUAAUCCUUUCUUACUCUUUGGUCCCUCCAAUUUCUCUUAUUUUUCACUUUUGACUCAAACUCUCUAUUUACUCAUUUAAUUAAAUAAAUAAAAUAAUAACUAUUAUUUUAAUCAUUAAAAUAAUUCUAAAUUACUUAUAUCAACUUCCACUCUUCCUCUACACCCUACCAAUACCUUCAUGCCUCCAAUCAACAUAUAUAAGCACGCCACUUAUUUAAUUUAAAACACAUAAUAAUUUAAAAAAUUAUAUAAAAGUCAAAAAUAAACCAAUUAAAGUAAAUAAAUCGAAAUUGGGGUUUUACAAAAACCAUGUCGAGAAAAAUGUGAAAAGGCCAAGAAGUUACCUGCUCGGAAAUUAGAGAUUUCCAGAUUCCGAUGAAGUUCACGGAGGGUAUGCACUUUCCAGCGAGUCUCUGACGAUCCUUCCUAGAAUUCGACGAGGUCCAAAAUGUCAGGUCAAUACGAUUUCAAGCUCCUUAAUCAUUUUCCUUCAGUCCUCUUCUACUCUUUCUCUACUUCUUCUAAACCGCCUUCGAUUCACUAUUUUGGUUUUUUUUUUCUGUUUGUGAGUUGUUGUUGAAAGUAUGGCGUUAUGAUUGAGAAUUAUGGUAUUAUGGCUUGAAGGUGGAUCUGUGGUGAUGAGGAAAUUGGUGAAGUAAUGGAAGAAAGUGAUGGUAUAAUUAUAAUAAGGUCAAAGGUGGUGUUUUUGUUGACAUGGAGGUUGUUAUGUUAAUGGUGGUUAAUGAGAUUAGAGAUGAAGAAGGGAGGUUGUUUUAUGGUUUGUUGUGGUAAGGUUGAAGAAUAAAAAAGGGAAUGAGGUGUGUUAUAUAAAGGAGUGAUGAAUGAAGGUUAAUGAGGUUUAUGGUUUAUGGAAGAAAUUGGUGAAUAUUUGUGUUGAUAGAGUAACUUGAAAGAGGAAGUUGUAGAAUGGCGGUGAAAGGAAAUGGUGGAGGAGAGUGAAGAUGGUUGAAUGGUAAGGUUUAGGCAUGUGAAUUAUUUACAGAUAUAUUUCUUCUCCCUCACCAUGCUAAUUUUUCUUCUUCUUUAUAGAGAUUCGUACAUCUUUAGAUCCACUUUUUGUGGGAUAUUUGUGAGAGUGUGAGAUUUGCAAAACUUAUGUGAAAUGUUAUUUAGAAAAAGAGAGUGAAAUGUGUGAAUCCAUGGGAAGUUUUAUGAAUAGAAAGUGGUGAUCCAAAGUGUGACUCCUUGUAAGAAUGAGUGGAAAUUUUAGAAACUUUUGUUAUGGUUUUGUGGUGUUUCCCGUGAGAACUAGUAUGACAUAGCAUGAAUGUAUCAUGUGGUGAUGUAGCAUGAAUGAAAAGAUGAUGUAAUAGAGCUUUUUGUAGCUUUUUUUAGUGUAAUGUCAAAUUUGUUGUAAUUCGUACAUGAGAAUCGUAUGGCAUGUGUGUAUUAUUUUUUCAUGACCAUGUAAUGAUGUAAGCUAUUUCAAUUCUUCUCAACUUUCGUCUUUUAAGCCAAUUUAGUGAAUUUUAUCUUUGUAUGAUUUGUGAAGAUGAGAUAAAAAUAUGAAAUGAGUGGGAUGAUGACAUAAAA
rnacentral:lncRNA from 1 species